rnacentral:rRNA from 1 species
UACGUAGGGCGCAAGCGUUGUCCGGAAUUAUUGGGCGUAAAGAGCUCGUAGGCGGUCUGUCACGUCUGCCGUGAAAACCCGAGGCUUAACCUCGUGGCUUGCGGUGGAUACGGGCAGACUAGAGGUAGGUAGGGGAGAACGGAAUUCCCGGUGUAGCGGUGAAAUGCGCAGAUAUCAGGAGGAACACCAAUAGCGAAGGCAGCUCGCUGGGACGGUACUGACACUGAGGCGCGAAAGCGUGGGGAGCGAACAGG